GUAGCCAGACUUUAUUAAAAAAAUCAGCUCUACCUCAAAGGAUUUCUGAUGCACUGGUUAAAAACACAGCAGUCAAUAAUUCAGUUAAUUUACCAAGUGAUUUACCCUUCAAAGCUACAGGGGUAGCUUUCCUGAAGAGUGCAAAAACUUCUUUAGCUUUCAAAAUGGUAUAUAGUACAAACAGUGAAGUUAAUAUACUUACUUACUUACCUAUAGACACGUAUGGAUAAUUAAAAUAGAUUAAUAUUCUUGAUACACCAAAUUUUGUAUAAUUACAGAUCUGAUCAUUCAUCAUCAACAAUAACUGCAUCUGAGAAUUAUAGUUCUACAGUAACCGUGGAGUCUAGGUCAACAAUUACUAUUUCUCAUCCAAGCCGUUUUUGUUUAACUGCUACACAUUCCCUGACUCUGCCAAGGAAAAGGGUAAAAUCAAAAUGAUAUCCUGAGGACCUAAGCACUGAUGAUUCCACCGUUUCAAGAGCUUAAUCACUUGUCACCAGAUUAUGGAAAAAAAAAAAGAACAAAAAAUUAAAAUUCGAAGAUUGCAUCAAGCAAAUUAGCG